rnacentral:other from 1 species
UUUCCCCUGCAGUGUACGACAGGUCGGUAGAUAUUUGAAGAACCGAUACCCAUAUUUUAGGGAGUCAGCACCUGCCGGCUCGAACAUGCCCUUAACGGGGACUUUCGGACGCUUGAAGCUGACUUACCACUUUAAAUACUGGGUUCUUUAAAUAGCCUUCCAUCGGCACAGGUGGAGGUACC